rnacentral:rRNA from 1 species
UAGGGAAUCUUCCGCAAUGUGCGAAAGCCUGACGGAGCAACGCCGCGUGAGUGAUGAAGGUCUUCGGAUCGUAAAACUCUGUUAUUAGGGAAGAACAAAUGUGUAAGUAACUAUGCACGUCUUAACGGUACCUAAUCAGAAAGCCACGGCUAACUACGUGCCAGCAGCCGCGGUAAUACGUAGGUGGCAAGCGUUAUCCGGAAUUAUUGGGCGUAAAGCGCGCGUAGGCGGUUUUUUAAGUCUGAUGUGAAAGCCCACGGCUCAACCGUGGAGGGUCAUUGGAAACUGGAAAACUUGAGUGCAGAAGAGGAAAGUGGAAUUCCAUGUGUAGCGGUGAAAUGCGCAGAGAUAUGGAGGAAGACCAGUGGCGAAGGCGACUUUCUGGUCUGUAACUGACGCUGAUGUGCGAAAGCGUGGGGAUCAAACAGG